rnacentral:rRNA from 1 species
GCUUAACACAUGCAAGUCGAGCGGAAACGAAGAUAGCUUGCUAUCAGGCGUCGAGCGGCGGACGGGUGAGUAACGCGUAGGAAUCUACCUAAUAGUGGGGGAUAGCCCAGAGAAAUUUGGAUUAAUACCGCAUACGCCCUACGGGGGAAAGGAGGGGAUCUUCGGACCUUUCGCUAUCAGAUGAGCCUGCGUGAGAUUAGCUAGUUGGUGGGGUAAAGGCUCACCAAGGCGACGAUCUCUAGCUGGUCUGAGAGGAUGAUCAGCCACACUGGGACUGAGACACGGCCCAGACUCCUACGGGAGGCAGCAGUGGGGAAUAUUGGACAAUGGGCGCAAGCCUGAUCCAGCCAUGCCGCGUGUGUGAAGAAGGCCUUCGGGUUGUAAAGCACUUUCAGCGAGGAGGAAAGGUUAGUAGUUAAUAACCGUAUGCCGUGACGUUACCUACAGAAGAAGCACCGGCUAACUCCGUGCCAGCAGGCCCAGUAAUACGGAGGGUGCAAGCGUUAAUCGGAAUUACUGGGCGUAAAGCGCGCGUAGGUGGUUUGAUAAGUUGGAUGUGAAAGCCCCGGGCUCAACCUGGGAACUGCAUUCAAAACUGUCUCACUAGAGUACGAUAGAGGGGGGUAGAAUUUCAGGUGUAGCGGUGAAAUGCGUAGAGAUCUGAAGGAAUACCAGUGGCGAAGGCGGCCCCCUGGACUGAUACUGACACUGAGGUGCGAAAGCGUGGGUAGCGAACAGGAUUAGAUACCCUGGUAGUCCACGCCGUAAACGAUGUCUACUAGCCGUUGGGAGGCUUGACCUCUUAGUGGCGCAGCUAACGCGAUAAGUAGACCGCCUGGGGAGUACGGCCGCAAGGUUAAAACUCAAAUGAAUUGACGGGGGCCCGCACAAGCGGUGGAGCAUGUGGUUUAAUUCGACGCAACGCGAAGAACCUUACCAAGUCUUGACAUCCUGCGAACUUUCUAGAGAUAGAUUGGUGCCUUCGGGAGCUCAGUGACAGGUGUUGCAUGGCUGUCGUCAGCUCGUGUCGUGAGAUGUUGGGUUAAGUCCCGUAACGAGCGCAACCCUUAUCCUUAUUUGCCAGCACUUCGGGUGGGAACUUUAAGGAGACUGCCGGUGACAAACCGGAGGAAGGAGAGGAUGAUGUCAAGUCAUCAUGGCCCUUACGGCCUGGGCUACACACGUGCUACAAUGGGCAGUACAGAGGGCCGCAAUACCGCGAGGUGGAGCUAAUCCCAGAAAACUGUUCGUAGUCCGGAUCGGAGUCUGCAACUCGACUCCGUGAAGUCGGAAUCGCUAGUAAUCGCGAAUCAGCAUGUCGCGGUGAAUACGUUCCCGGGCCUUGUACACACCGCCCGUCACAUCAUGGGAGUGGGCUGCAAAAGAAGUGGCUAGUCUAACCUUCGGGAGGACGGUCACCACUUUGUGGUUCAUGACUGGGAUGAAGUCGUAACAAGGUAGCCGUAGGGGAACCUGCGGCUGGAUCACCUCCUUU